GAAGUACCUUCGGGUGCGAGUAGAGCGGCGGACGGGUGAGUAACGCGUAGGAAUCUACCUAGUAGAAGGGGAUAGCCCGGGGAAACUCGGAUUAAUACCGUAUACCUCCUUAGGGAGAAAGAGGGCUUAGCUUUGAUGCUCUCGCUAUUAGAUGAGCCUGCGUAAGAUUAGCUUGUUGGUGAGGUAAUGGCUCACCAAGGCGACGAUCUUUAGCUGGUCUGAGAGGACGAUCAGCCACAUUGGGACUGAGACACGGCCCAGACUCCUACGGGAGGCAGCAGUGGGGAAUAUUGGACAAUGGGCGCAAGCCUGAUCCAGCCAUACCGCGUGUGUGAAGAAGGCUUUCGGGUUGUAAAGCACUUUAAGUAAGGAGGAAAAGAUUGUAGUUAAUACCUGCAAUCCGUGACGUUACUUACAGAAUAAGGACCGGCUAAUUCCGUGCCAGCAGCCGCGGUAAUACGGAAGGUCCAAGCGUUAAUCGGAAUUACUGGGCGUAAAGCGCGCGUAGGUGGUUUUUUAAGUUGGAUGUGAAAGCCCUGGGCUCAACCUAGGAACUGCAUCCAAAACUAGAUGACUAGAGUACGAAAGAGGGAAGUAGAAUUCACAGUGUAGCGGUGGAAUGCGUAGAUAUUGUGAAGAAUACCAAUGGCGAAGGCAGCUUCCUGGUUCUGUACUGACACUGAGGUGCGAAAGCGUGGGUAGCGAACAGGAUUAGAUACCCUGGUAGUCCACGCCGUAAACGAUGACAACUAGCUGUUGGGAGACAAGAUCUCUCAGUGGCGCAGCUAACGCUUUAAGUUGUCCGCCUGGGGAGUACGGCCGCAAGGUUAAAACUCAAAUGAAUUGACGGGGACCCGCACAAGCGGUGGAGCAUGUGGUUUAAUUCGAUGCAACGCGA
rnacentral:rRNA from 1 species